rnacentral:rRNA from 1 species
CGCUGGCGGCGUGCUUAACACAUGCAAGUCGAACGGUGAACACGGAGCUUGCUCUGUGGGAUCAGUGGCGAACGGGUGAGUAACACGUGAGCAACCUGCCCCUGACUCUGGGAUAAGCGCUGGAAACGGCGUCUAAUACUGGAUAUGUGACGUGACCGCAUGGUCUGCGUUUGGAAAGAUUUUUCGGUUGGGGAUGGGCUCGCGGCCUAUCAGCUUGUUGGUGAGGUAAUGGCUCACCAAGGCGUCGACGGGUAGCCGGCCUGAGAGGGUGACCGGCCACACUGGGACUGAGACACGGCCCAGACUCCUACGGGAGGCAGCAGUGGGGAAUAUUGCACAAUGGGCGAAAGCCUGAUGCAGCAACGCCGCGUGAGGGAUGACGGCCUUCGGGUUGUAAACCUCUUUUAGCAGGGAAGAAGCGAAAGUGACGGUACCUGCAGAAAAAGCGCCGGCUAACUACGUGCCAGCAGCCGCGGUAAUACGUAGGGCGCAAGCGUUAUCCGGAAUUAUUGGGCGUAAAGAGCUCGUAGGCGGUUUGUCGCGUCUGCUGUGAAAUCCCGAGGCUCAACCUCGGGCCUGCAGUGGGUACGGGCAGACUAGAGUGCGGUAGGGGAGAUUGGAAUUCCUGGUGUAGCGGUGGAAUGCGCAGAUAUCAGGAGGAACACCGAUGGCGAAGGCAGAUCUCUGGGCCGUAACUGACGCUGAGGAGCGAAAGGGUGGGGAGCAAACAGGCUUAGAUACCCUGGUAGUCCACCCCGUAAACGUUGGGAACUAGUUGUGGGGUCCAUUCCACGGAUUCCGUGACGCAGCUAACGCAUUAAGUUCCCCGCCUGGGGAGUACGGCCGCAAGGCUAAAACUCAAAGGAAUUGACGGGGACCCGCACAAGCGGCGGAGCAUGCGGAUUAAUUCGAUGCAACGCGAAGAACCUUACCAAGGCUUGACAUAUACGAGAACGGGCCAGAAAUGGUCAACUCUUUGGACACUCGUAAACAGGUGGUGCAUGGUUGUCGUCAGCUCGUGUCGUGAGAUGUUGGGUUAAGUCCCGCAACGAGCGCAACCCUCGUUCUAUGUUGCCAGCACGUAAUGGUGGGAACUCAUGGGAUACUGCCGGGGUCAACUCGGAGGAAGGUGGGGAUGACGUCAAAUCAUCAUGCCCCUUAUGUCUUGGGCUUCACGCAUGCUACAAUGGCCGGUACAAAGGGCUGCAAUACCGUGAGGUGGAGCGAAUCCCAAAAAGCCGGUCCCAGUUCGGAUUGAGGUCUGCAACUCGACCUCAUGAAGUCGGAGUCGCUAGUAAUCGCAGAUCAGCAACGCUGCGGUGAAUACGUUCCCG